GCGAUCGCAGUGGUACAGUCCAGCUAAACGCGCGAAGACUGAUUUCAGAGCACGCGCGUGGGUAAACAACAGUUUCUGGACGCAUUUUCGGGACUUUGGCGACAGACACAUUGAGCGGUGACUUUGUGAAACGAAAACCAAACUCGGAGAAAGAUUUAGGAACCGUCCAUCCGUCCGCGCGGCUGCAGGAGAGAAGACAUGCUAGCUGCAGCGACACGGAGCUCCUGAGAACUGCAGGUCACCAUCAUCAAGCCGGGAAAUUUCUCUGGAGCCACCAACAUCUUGAAGACCAGAACUGCUUUGGAUCUCUGGGUGAAACUCCACGAGGACUGAAAGAAAAUCUUCAACCGUUGGUUGUGAACACUCACCAGAACCCUGGUGUGGAUCAGAAGAGCGAGUCCUGGUCCGUUUGAGAACGGAGGCCACUGACCACCAAACUGUCGGGUUCACUUCUAUCUGCAGGAAACAGGUCGCCUCAGGAAAAAAAAUGGUUAAACCGAGAGCCACCAAGGAGGGAUAAAAGAGCCACAUGUGGCUCUGGAGUCGCAGGUUGAAGACCCAUGGGCUAAACACACCUGAUCCAGG